rnacentral:tRNA from 1 species
GGCUGGGUGGCAGAGUGGUUAUGUACCGGCCUGCAAAGCCGAGUACCUCGGUUCGAUUCCGGGCCCAGCCUCCA